GUAGGAACAUCAUGUUGAGAAUUUAUAAUGGGAAAAGGGAAAGAAUACAAAAUCCACAAGUAGUCCAUGUAGAAGCGGAACUUCCUUCUAUGUACUACUUCAGAAGCACUUUUCUGAGAAAAGCCAAAAACAAACAGUUGUAAAAUGUCCAAACAGAAUCCUUUCCCCUGGUCUCCAGGUCACGUCAACUCUUGUGACACCAUGGACUAUAGCUUGCCAAGCUCUUCUGUCCAUGGGAUUUCCCAGGCAAGAAUAGUGGAAUGGGUUGCCAUUUCCUUCUCCAUGGGAUCUUCCCAACCCAGGAAUUGAACCCACAUCUCUUACUCUGGCAGGCGGAUUCUUUAC
ensembl:lncRNA